AACCAAAUUAAAAUAUUGAGAUU
rnacentral:snRNA from 1 species